UGACAAUGAGUGAUCACUAGAUGUCCAGG
rnacentral:piRNA from 1 species